UACGGAAGGCAGCAGUGGGGAAUAUUGGACAAUGGGCGCAAGCCUGAUCCAGCCAUACCGCGUGGGUGAAGAAGGCCUUCGGGUUGUAAAGCCCUUUUGUUGGGAAAGAAAUCCAGCCGGCUAAUACCUGGUUGGGAUGACGGUACCCAAAGAAUAAGCACCGGCUAACUUCGUGCCAGCAGCCGCGGUAAUACGAAGGGUGCAAGCGUUACUCGGAAUUACUGGGCGUAAAGCGUGCGUAGGUGGUCGUUUAAGUCUGUUGUGAAAGCCCUGGGCUCAACCUGGGAACUGCAGUGGAAACUGGACGACUAGAGUGUGGUAGAGGGUAGCGGAAUUCCUGGUGUAGCAGUGAAAUGCGUAGAGAUCAGGAGGAACAUCCAUGGCGAAGGCAGCUACCUGGGACCAACACUGACACUGAGGCACGAAGCGUGGGGAGCAAACAGGGAUUAGAUACC
rnacentral:rRNA from 1 species